rnacentral:rRNA from 1 species
ACAAAAACAUCUUUUCUUGUUAGUUUUUGAAGUAUGGCCUGCCCACUGACGUUUAUUUGGUUGAAGGGCCGCGGUAUUUUGACCGUGCAAAGGUAGCAUAAUCAUUAGUUCUUUAAUUGUGAUCUGGUAUGAAUGGCUUGACGAGACAUGAGCUGUCUUAGAAGUAUUUCUUUAUUGAAUUUGGUCUUUGAGUUAAAAUUCUUAGAUGUUUUUAUGGGACGAGAAGACCCUAUAGAGUUUAACAUUUCCUCUUCUUUUGUAUUGGUGUUUGUUUAUUUAUUUUAAGUUGAUUAAGUGUUUUGUUGGGGUGAUGGGAGGAAUAAAAUUUAACUCCUCUUUGGUUUGGUAUAUUUAUUUAUAUUUGUUUUGAUCCAUUUAUUUUGAUUAUAAGAUUAAAUUACCUUAGGGAUAACAGCGUUAUCUUCCUUGAGAGUUCUUAUUGGCAGGGAGGUUUGCGACCUCGAUGUUGGAUUAAGGUGAAUUUCGGUGCAGGAGCUGAAAGUGAUUAG